rnacentral:rRNA from 1 species
CAAUAGCGUAUAUUUAAGUUGCUGCAGUUAAAAAGCUCGUAGUUGGAUUUCGGGUGGGAAUGGCCGGUCCGCCGUUUCGGUGUGCACUUGCUACGCCCACCUUGCUGCCGGGGACGUGCUCUUGAGUUCACGCUCGGGACACGGAGUCGGCGAGGUUACUUUGAGUAAAUUAGAGUGUUCAAAGCAGGCCUACGCUCUGAAUACAUUAGCAUGGAAUAACACGAUAGGACUCUGGCCUAUCUUGUUGGUCUGUAGGACCGGAGUAAUGAUUAAGAGGGACAGUCGGGGGCAUUCGUAUUUCAUUGUCAGAGGUGAAAUUCUUGUAUUUAUGAAAGACGAACUACUGCGAAAGCAUUUGCCAAGGAUGUUUUCAUUAA